rnacentral:rRNA from 1 species
UUGGAGGGCAAGUCUGGUGCCAGCAGCCGCGGUAAUUCCAGCUCCAAUAGCGUAUAUUAAAGUUGUUGCAGUUAAAAAGCUCGUAGUUGAAUUUCGGGGUUUAUCCGUUGGUCGGGCUUUUGGGUCUGUACUGGCGUGAUGAAUUCCUACCUUCUGAAUAACCAGCAUGUCAUUAAUUUGGUGCGCCGGGGAAGCAGGACUGUUACCUUGAAAAAAUUAGAGUGCUUAAAGCAGGCUAUUGCCUGAAUACAUUAGCAUGGAAUAAUGAAAUAGGACGGCAUGGUUCUAUUUUGUUGGUUUCUAGGAUCACCGUAAUGAUUAAUAGGGAUAGUUGGGGGCAUUAGUAUUCAAUUGUCAGAGGUGAAAUUCUUGGAUUUAUUGAAGACUAACUUCUGCGAAAGCAUUUGCCAAGGAUGUUUUCAUUAAUCAAGAACGAAAGUUAGGGGAUCGAAGACGAUCAGAUACCGUCGUAGUCUUAACCAUAAACUAUGCCGGGAUCGGACGAUGUUAAUUUUUUAAUGACUCGUUCGGCGCCUUACGGGAAAC